rnacentral:rRNA from 1 species
GACGCUUUCCAGCGUC